rnacentral:rRNA from 1 species
AGGACGAACGCUGGCGGCGUGCUUAACACAUGCAAGUCGAGCGGUAAGGCCUUUCGGGGUACACGAGCGGCGAACGGGUGAGUAACACGUGGGUGAUCUGCCCUGCACUUCGGGAUAAGCCUGGGAAACUGGGUCUAAUACCGGAUAUGACCUCCUAUCGCAUGGUGGGUGGUGGAAAGAUUUAUCGGGUGCAGGAUGGGCCCGCGGCCUAUCAGCUUGUUGGUGGGUAAUGGCCUACCAAGGCGACGACGGGUAGCCGACCUGAGAGGGUGACCGGCCACACUGGGACUGAGACACGGCCCAGACUCCUACGGGAGGCAGCAGUGGGAAUAUUGCACAAUGGGCGAAAGCCUGAUGCAGCGACGCCGCGUGAGGAUGACGGCCUUCGGGUUGUAAACCGUUCUUUCGAGACGAGGACGAAGCGACAAGGUCGACGUACCUGACAGAAGAA